rnacentral:lncRNA from 1 species
CUCCUUUCAGCCCAACAACAUUGGAGCCAUGCCCUCUGCAAACUAGACGCAGAACUGCUCAAAAGCUUCAGUUUAAGACUGUAGUCAUCUUUAGCAAAUAGUUGCAACCCAUAUGGAGACAUGCUGAUCUAAAGAACUUGCAAAGGUAUUCUUCACAGAAUAAUGGAGGCAUCUGCUAAGCUAUAGUAAAAGUGGUACUAUAUAUAUAAAUAUACUCAUAUUUUUUUCUGAACAGAUG